UACACGCGUCUAGUUAGCAAUCUAUACUGUGAAACUGCGAAUGGCUCAUUAAAUCAGUUAUCGUUUAUUUGAUAGUACCUUACUACUUGGAUAACCGUGGUAAUUCUAGAGCUAAUACAUGCUAAAAACCCCGACUUCGGAAGGGGUGUAUUUAUUAGAUAAAAAACCAAUGCCCUUCGGGGCUCCUUGGUGAAUCAUGAUAACUUAACGAAUCGCAUGGCCUUGCGCCGGCGAUGGUUCAUUCAAAUUUCUGCCCUAUCAACUUUCGAUGGUAGGAUAGUGGCCUACCAUGGUAGCAACGGGUAACGGGGAAUUAGGGUUCUAUUCCGGAGAGGGAGCCUGAGAAACGGCUACCACAUCCAAGGAAGGCAGCAGGCGCGCAAAUUACCCAAUCCCGACACGGGGAGGUAGUGACAAUAAAUACUGAUACAGGGCUCUUUCGAGUCUUGUAAUUGGAAUGAGUACAAUUUAAAUACCUUAACGAGGAACAAUUGGAGGGCAAGUCUGGUGCCAGCAGCCGCGGUAAUUCCAGCUCCAAUAGCGUAUAUUAAAGUUGUUGCAGUUAAAAAGCUCGUAGUUGAACCUUGGGCCUGGCUGGCCGGUCCGCCUCACCGCGUGUACUGGUUCGGCCGGGCCUUUCCUUCUGGGGAUCCGCAUGCCCUUCACUGGGUGUGUCGGGGAACCAGGACUUUUACUUUGAAAAAAUUAGAGUGUUCAAAGCAGGCCUUUGCUCGAAUACAUUAGCAUGGAAUAAUAGAAUAGGACGUGCGGUCCUAUUUUGUUGGUUUCUAGGACCGCCGUAAUGAUUAAUAGGGAUAGUCGGGGGGAUCG
rnacentral:rRNA from 1 species